AUGGAUGUUUCAUGUGUGUAUCAGCCCAUGGUCAUCUCCUCAGGUUUCAAGAGGGCAGUUCACUUGAGUGUGGAAAGCCAAGACAUGAGAGGAGUCAUCCCAGCUCCUUGGACUGACCCAGAGAGACUUGCAGAAAGAGGGGUCAAAGGGGCAAGUCAGCUUGAGGAUGCCCAUGGAGAAGGUGAGAGACAUGUGGAGCUCUGGGAAGGGGAGUGGCUGGUUCUGGAGCACAGGCCAGCUUUGCAGGGGAUUAUUCCACUGAGGGGAAAGCACAGGUAGUGGCAGUGUCACAUCGGGAGGCCAUGCCUGCUGUCUCAGCCUGUUCAGGCUUUCCUCCCAGCCUCAGGGCAAAUCUGCCCCAGGAGUAGCCCCUUGCCUCAAAUUGGGCUCUGUGCUUCCACGGCGCCCUGAGCGUAAUUUCGCUGUUCACAUAUAUCUCAUCUCAUUGUCUAUUUAUACGUGUCCUCUCUCCUGGACUGUGAGUUCUAGGGCAGAGAUGUGUUUCUGGCACAGCCCUGUCCUUGCUCGUGGUUCACAGCCUGGCACAUUGUAGGCACAUCAUGACUGCGUCUAAAGUGGCCCGCAGGAGCACCUGAUACCUACUGUCAGAGUCGUGGGCGCAGUGAUUCAUGUCUCUGCGACCUCUUUCUUUCUGCUUAAAACCCUUGGAGAAGAGAGUAGGGGAAGAGAAAGAGUCUUAGUCCCAGCCCAGGAAGCCCAGACUCUCAGGAGACCCCACUCUUUUUGUCUCUUCACACCUGUCCAACUGCCCUGAAGGCCUGAGGCGUGCUACAGAAAGACCUUCCAAGGGAAAUGCAAAUGUUGCCAUUGGGGAUGUCAGAUUUGGUGUUUUGGAGCAUAGCCAGAUUUUGUCAGUGUUUUCAGGUAUUGGAGGUGAAUAUUCCACAACCAGGAAGUAGUAAGAAACCUCUUAACAUUACAUUGUUCAUUCUUUACAUAUUACAUGUCUAUGUCCUUCCUUCUGCUUUGGAAUAUAAAUGUCUUGAGGACAGGGACUCUGUGUGUUCCAGUGCCUGGAGCAGUAACUGGCACACCAUGGAGACUUAAUCAGUAUUUGCAGACUGACUGCUGACUUCCUCUUGCUAAAACAGAAAACUGGUGAAAACAAGCAUUGGUCCUCUCUUCAUGAGAUCUAAAAUCUCUGAGGCCUGGAAUAGCCUGGAGAUAUAAGGAGGGAGAUGGUACUCUACCCAUGGUUGGACAUGGCUGAGGAGGGUUCCUGAUUAUCCAACAUGAGAAUGAUGAAUCAAGAAGGACA
rnacentral:lncRNA from 1 species